rnacentral:miRNA from 1 species
AUCUCCAUGACUGUCCCGCCUUGUCGGGUAGCUUAUCAGACUGAUGUUGCCUGUUGAAUCUCAUGGCAACAGCAGUCGAUGGGCUGUCUGACUUUUUGGUAUCUUUCAUCUGA